rnacentral:rRNA from 1 species
ACACGGCCCAGACUCCUACGGGAGGCAGCAGUAGGGAAUCUUCCACAAUGGACGAAAGCCUGAUGGAGCAACGCCGCGUGAGUGAAGAAGGUUUUCGGAUCGUAAAACUCUGUUGUAAGGGAAGAACAAGUACAGUAGUAACUGGCUGUACCUUGACGGUACCUUAUUAGAAAGCCACGGCUAACUACGUGCCAGCAGCCGCGGUAAUACGUAGGUGGCAAGCGUUGUCCGGAAUUAUUGGGCGUAAAGCGCGCGCAGGCGGUUCCUUAAGUCUGAUGUGAAAGCCCACGGCUCAACCGUGGAGGGUCAUUGGAAACUGGGGGACUUGAGUGCAGAAGAGGAAAGUGGAAUUCCAAGUGUAGCGGUG